GACCUGUGGAAAGACUACUUCGUCUAGCAGUGUUUGAGAAAAGGGGAAAGCAUACCACCCAUACCAAGCUUGCAGCACUUUUCUCUGAUGAUGCUCAAGUUAAGUACCCUUUUGACACACCCACUGCCAUACUGAGACCAAUGACGUAUGAGAUACCACUAGGGGGCAACGUGACACUGAGCUGCUUUGUGGGGGGCUCUGACAACUGGACCAUUU